UUGAUUCUGCUGAGAGAGUCCUGCCCAUUGUUUUGGGUGCCACCACAACACUCCUGCAGGAAUAAAAGGGCACAUCAUCAUCAUCGCGGCUCCAGUUGUCAAGAGCUGAAAUUGUUAUUUCAUGACUGUCAUUUGUAACUGCAGUUCCGGCAUGACGCCGAAAAAGGAGGCGCUGUUUCGUUAUCAGCAGAGUGAGGUGCUGAAGAGUUGCAGUACAAGAGCUAAUACGAGCUGUAUUAUCUGAGUUUCACGGCUUUUGAGAUGUCGUGAUCCUCUAUUCAUUAAGCUGUAUUGGCUCCCUAUAGUCGCUCGCAUCAAAUUCAAGACUCUGCUCCUGGCCUACAAGACCACCACUGGUUCGGCACCACCUUAUCUUCACUCGCUAAUGCAGACAUAUGUACCCGCCAGAUCCCUACAAUCUGCAAACGAACGGCGUCUUGUGGUGCCAUCCCAAAAAGGUAAAAAAUCUCUCUCACACACCUUCUCCGGAUCUGUUCCACCUAUGUGUGAUCUGCCCGCUACUACAAGAUCUGCAGAUUCUGUAGCCAUUUUUAAGAAACGUCUGAAAACACAUCUCUUCCGUCAACAUCUGACUGAUCUGUUCGGAGUCUAUUUUCUUCUCUACUCUUAAUAAAAAAAUAAAAAAUAAAAUAAUGAA